rnacentral:rRNA from 1 species
UACGGGGGGGGUAAGCGUUGUUCGGAAUUACUGGGCGUAAAGGGCUCGUAGGCGGCCAACUAAGUCAUACGUGAAAUCCCUCAGCUUAACUGGGGAACUGCGUGUGAUACUGGAUGGCUUGGAUUUGGGAGAGGGAUGCGGAAUUCCAGGUGUAGCGGUGAGAUGCGUAGAUAUCUGGAGGAACACCGGUGGCGAAGGCGGCAUCCUGGACCAAUAUUGACGCUGAGGAGCGAAAGCCAGGGGAGCAAACGGG